rnacentral:tRNA from 1 species
GUCGGCUUCGUCUAACGGUUAGGACAUCACCCUUUCAAGGUGGAAACACGGGUUCGAUUCCCGUAGCCGAUA